rnacentral:rRNA from 1 species
UCUGGUUGAUCCUGCCAGAGGCCACUGCUAUCGGAGUUCGAUUAAGCCAUGCGAGUCGAGAGGUGUAAGACCUCGGCAUACUGCUCAGUAACACGUGGACAACCUACCCUGAAGAGGGGGAUAACCCCGGGAAACUGGGGAUAAUACCCCAUAGGCUAUGGAUGCUGGAAUGCUCUGUAGUUGAAAGGUCCGCCGCUUCAGGAUGGGUCUGCGGCCGAUUAGGUUGUUGUUGGGGUAACGGCCCAACAAGCCUGUAAUCGGUACGGGUUGUGGGAGCAAGAGCCCGGAGAUGGAUUCUGAGACACGAAUCCAGGCCCUACGGGGCGCAGCAGGCGCGAAAACUUUACAAUGCGAGCAAUCGUGAUAAGGGAACUCCGAGUGCCCGUAAAAUCGGGCUGUCCGCCAGUGUAAAUAACUGGUGAAGAAAGGGCCGGGCAAGACCGGUGCCAGCCGCCGCGGUAAUACCGGCGGCUCGAGUGGUGGCCACUAUUACUGGGCUUAAAGCGUUCGUAGCUGGUCUGUUAAGUCUCUGGGGAAAUCUUCCGGCUUAACCGGAAGGCGUCUCAGGGAUACUGGCAGACUAGGGACCGGAAGAGGUGAGAGGUACUCCAGGGGUAGGAGUGAAAUCCUGUAAUCCUUGGGGGACCACCUGUGGCGAAGGCGUCUCACCAGGACGGCUCCGACAGUGAGGAACGAAAGCUGGGGGAGCAAACCGGAUUAGAUACCCGGGUAGUCCCAGCUGUAAACGAUGCGCGUUAGGUGUAUCGGUGACCACGAGUCACCGAGGUGCCGAAGAGAAAUCGUGAAACGCGCCGCCUGGGAAGUACGGUCGCAAGGCUGAAACUUAAAGGAAUUGGCGGGGGAGCACCACAACGGGUGGAGCCUGCGGUUUAAUCGGACUCAACGCCGGGAAACUCACCGGACAAGACAGCUGAAUGAUAGUCGGGCUGAAGACUCUACUUGACUAGCUGAGAGGAGGUGCAUGGCCGUCGUCAGUUCGUACUGUGAAGCAUCCUGUUAAGUCAGGCAACGAGCGAGACCCA